AGUCAGAUAGUUACUGCAAGGAUGAGGAAGAGUUGGUGCUUGGAGGAGCUGCCUAUGAGAAACAUCAAGCCAGCUCCUGGUUCUCCAGGGAGAGGAAAAAGAGUGAAGGCAAAACCCUGAGCAGAGAAGAGGCAGUGCCUGUCUGUCAAGCCUCUGACAGAAGUGCUCCACUACCCUUUCCUGUUCAAUAAUGAAUGGACACAUUUGAAGCUGCACAUAUUUGCACUUAUGAGCUCAUCCAAGCAAAAGAUAUAAGAAACGUGACUUAUCUAAACACAAAAAGCAGCCAAGGGAUCAAGUAAAUCACACAACCCCCAUUGCUGCUCCUUUGCUGUUCCUUCCCUGCCUCCUUGGUACUGUACCUAAGAGAAAGAAGAUUACAUUCCUGCAUCACAUUUUCUGCUAUUUCUUCCCAAACUGCUACAACAAAUAUCUCAAAGGGAACUUACAUCAAGUGUGCCCAGUUAACCUGGUUACAUCUCAGAUUCUCACCUUUUAAAGCCAGUGGAGAGCAAGUGGCAUUUUUGGCAGACAAUUUAUUUAAUGAAAAGGAAGGUGCCCAGAACAGGCCAGCCAAAGCUCUGUCCCUGGGAGUGUCUGUUCCCUCCAGGGAGCUGUGGCCACACUACAGGACAGUGAGGAGGAGGAGAUCUCUAAAGGGGACAGGCAAGUGCAUCUGGGGACAGAAGAUCCUGCUUGUGAGCUUGGCCAGAGCCUCAAAAGGACACCAAAUCUUGAAUUUCCUUGUCAAGGCUGAUGAGGGUGUGGAGUAAUUACUCUUUGAGUAACCACUGGAGUCAAAGUUUAGUUUAGCAGGUAACAAGGAGUAGGCACAGAAAGUAGUUGGAAGGGUGCACUUACAGUUCCCCUUUGGGGUCACUGGAAAGUUGCAAAAUGACUGUGUGCAGUCCCUGUAGCAGGACAGGCUCUCCCUGUGCUUAAAGCCAGGCUUAUGCCAGAGGGAGCAUUUUCCAACAGCUGUCAUAACUUUGGGUGCUCUUAAAAUUCUCACUAAUCCCUAGGGUCACUAAAAUACCCAAUCGGUGAAAAAUCAGGUGUCCACCUGAGGGCUUCCAUUCAAAGCACAGAGUUCACUCUUUUCUAAUAAAACACAACCAAGAAAAACACUUUUUCCUUUAAUCUCUGUCUAGACUUUUAUCUAAUAGUCUAAAAGGAUGCACCUCCAAAGCAUGAGAAUCAGGAGAAAGUCUGCUUUUCACCUGAGGUGAACCAAGCCACUCUUUUUCACCUCACAAAAACCCAGAAUGUAAGGAAGUGCUGGCUGUCAGCUGAGACACUCCUCUGUAAGUGAGGGAUGGUGGUGUGUGCGUGCUUGGGCAGAAGGAGGAAUUUAGUGGAGACCCCUCACCUGGAGAGUGAAUUAACCACUGGCCUACACCAGGAAGGGAGCAGACAACACUGGGAGCUCAGGAUGGCCAUGAGAGCCAGGUCUGCCCAGCAAAUGUUUCCCAAUUCUGAGGGGGUCUGAGGCAAAAAAUGGGUUUGAAUCCACAUGGGCCUUUGGCAUACAAGAGACACCAUGUGAUGAGCUCUGUCAGUUCUUUCCUGAAGGACCCUUUUCAUGGCAUUCAGCCCUUUAAAGUUUUACAAGAGGGAUAACUUUGGGGUUGGCUGCCACCAAGGGUACUGCAGAGGCCAGACAUGUUUGAGUACAGAGCCACAGGAGUUUUUCUGUGCUUUAUCUUCACCCCUAUGUCUGGCUUUCCAGCCCCAUAUCUGGCUGUUAUUCCUAAUCCUGGAGGUGACUCACUCAAAGAAAGAGAAAGAAUUUAGCACUGUAAAAUAUGUAGGAGCUGUUGCCACAAAUAAAUAAUAAGAAAUAAACCCAGCCAUUUGGGAGUGGAAUGCUCAAUAUUCACAUGCCAUGUGGCUUUAGGUUUGUAAAGUGAAAGCUUUAGAAACAGCUUUUGUUCAAUCAAAAAAGAAAAUAAAUUACAUCCACUGUAAAAGAACAAUGAAAUAUUCUGCCUCUGGACUGCCUUUUGAAUUCCAAAUUUUCUUUGGGAAGGCAUC